AACGAACGCUGGCGGCAUGCCUAACACAUGCAAGUCGAACGAGACCUUCGGGUCUAGUGGCGCACGGGUGCGUAACGCGUGGGAACCUGCCCUUAGGUUCGGAAUAACUCCCCGAAAGGGGUGCUAAUACCGGAUAAUGUCUUCGGACCAAAGAUUUAUCGCCUUUGGAUGGGCCCGCGUUGGAUUAGCUAGUUGGUAGGGUAAAAGCCUACCAAGGCGACGAUCCAUAGCUGGUCUGAGAGGAUGAUCAGCCACACUGGGACUGAGACACGGCCCAGACUCCUACGGGAAGCAGCAGUGGGGAAUAUUGGACAAUGGGCGAAAGCCUGAGCCAGCAAUGCCGCGUGAGUGAUGAAGGCCUUAGGGUUGUAAAGCUCUUUUACCCGGGAUGAUAAUGACAGUACCGGGAGAAUAAGCUCCGGCUAACUCCGUG
rnacentral:rRNA from 1 species